rnacentral:rRNA from 1 species
GACGAACGCUGGCGGCGUGCUUAACACAUGCAAGUCGAACGGAAAGGCCCUGCUUUUGUGGGGUGCUCGAGUGGCGAACGGGUGAGUAACACGUGAGUAACCUGCCCUUGACUUUGGGAUAACUUCAGGAAACUGGGGCUAAUACCGGAUAGGAGCUCCUGCUGCAUGGUGGGGGUUGGAAAGUUUCGGCGGUUGGGGAUGGACUCGCGGCUUAUCAGCUUGUUGGUGGGGUAGUGGCUUACCAAGGCUUUGACGGGUAGCCGGCCUGAGAGGGUGACCGGCCACAUUGGGACUGAGAUACGGCCCAGACUCCUACGGGAGGCAGCAGUGGGGAAUAUUGCACAAUGGGCGGAAGCCUGAUGCAGAAACGCCGCGUGCGGGAUGACGGCCUUCGGGUUGUAAACCGCUUUCGCCUGUGACGAAGCGUGAGUGACGGUAAUGGGUAAAGAAGCACCGGCUAACUACGG